ensembl:lncRNA
AAGUCACAAACGCUCUGAAUGGGAAAGCCCAGAGGUGAGUAACGUAAGCGCCGAUCAGUGUGUCAUGUCUUCUGUUCAUACAGCUGAAAAAACACCAGAACGCCAUCCUGGAGACCUUGUUCCAGGCGUCGUUUGUGCCUACCAGCGCUCAGGUCAUGCGGAAGGGCAUGCAAUCACUGGCUGCUGUCUUGAAUCAUCUAGGGACAGAUGCAGGGCCCCUGGUUUGGGAUGUAGUCACACACAUCAGGACCUUCUUCAACCAUGUGAGGUGAGCAGCACUCCCCACCCCCAUUCCAGCGCUCUUCAUUCAGGGUCACUGCAGAGGUAAGAGAUGCACUUCCUGUCCCUUGUUGCAGUCCAAACUGGAAGAUCUUAAGUUCUGUGGAAAAGAUGAGUUUUCAGGAGGAAAAGCAAGUGAAGAGAAUGGGAUGAUGGGAGGGACUCUCAGGAGACUGGAUGAGGCUGUAGCUGAAGCUCUGUAGGGCUCUGGGGCUAUUCUCUGCUGUGUUGAUUCUCCUGAGUCGGAAGCAGAGCUGGGCGGAAACAAGUAAGCACAGGGGCUGGGGGAUCUGAUUUUGCUGGGAUUUGGAAUCGGAGCCCCCAGUGACGGCACGUUCAGGGAACGAGGCUUGCUGCUCCCCGAGCUCCACUAAGUGCACUGGCUCCCAGGCAGCCCACCUGGAACAGGAGCUGUCAUAGCCUACCUCCAUGGCAGACCCCCUGGCAGGCUGGAGACUAAAGGCUUCUGUCAUGGGCCUGGCACAGCUCCUGACAGAAGUUUUGGUUGUGACCACACUGGAGCUGUUCAGCCACAGGGCAAUGACAAUCUUCACUCAAUGGCUUUCGCCCUGUUCAGCGCCCUGGCAGGCUGCAUAUAGAGAAGAUGGCACACCUAUUAUCGGAAUUAAGUGAGGCAGUUUGGCAAUGCUCCUGUUUCACCUGGAGGACCCCAACCCACACGUGGCCAAGAUAAGAACCAGUGACACUGAUUUCCUCAGCCCUACCAUGUCUCCUCAGUCCAGGCCCAGGGGCACCCUAUGCUUUCUGCAUCCUGUGGUGAUCAUCACCUUCCCACUCAGGGGGCUUUAUCCAGGCACCUCCUUGAGCUUGGGGCUGCCUCUUUGGGUCCAGGGCAGGCUGCACAUCUACCACCCCUCCCCCCCAUGCAUGCAGAAAAUCUUCCUGCGUGGCUUUACUGAGGGGGAGAUGAGUGCUGUCUGCAGGUGCCACAUGAAAAGCAGGACAAGUCCUUCCUUUGCUCACAGCCAUUCCUUUGUGCCUAAUGCCAGUUACCCCCUGGCCAGGCCAUCCUGUUCCUGGCCUUGGCUGAGUCCUGGGUCAAGCGGGAACCCUUGGCCUCAGCUCAGCAGUCAGCAGGGAAUAAGACCUGGUGUGACUGUGUUGGUUCUUUUGUUUGUUUGUGUUUUUGGGGAGUUUUUUUUUUUUUCAGGAGUACAGAACAACAUGGGGCUGCCGCUGCCCUUACCUGGGCUUAAGGACGGUGCAGGCAGCCCUGGCCUUCCAUAUCCAGGGCUCAGACUGGGUGAAACAAGAGCAGCUGCUGAGGGACCUCUGCAGGCACUUGGCAUCAUUAUGGAGUAUGCUACCCCAGGGAGUGCCAAACAGAUAGAUAUUGCCCACCUGCUGAGCUGUAAGUCAGAAAUCCAGCCCCUGCACUUCCCUUCUGGAGCCCAUAAGAAGCUGCAGGGACUGAUCCCUCCUCCUGCUGUGGAGCCCAGUGCAUCUGCUCUGCCCUUAGGAUAGCCUAAGAGAGCCUUGCCCCGAGCAGGCUGCUUACAUUCCCCUGGUGCAUCAGGGAGAAGGUGAAUGCAUCUCCUGCCUGUCCUGCCCAGGCUCUGGUGUCGCUUGGCUUCCUGGGGUCCCUCAGGUUGGGGAAAGUUGUAGCCAGUGCCACUGCCAAUCCUCCCCUGGGCAGCCUGUCUGGCUCCCUUCAUCAGGUGCAAACCAACAUAAACAAGUCCUGAGUGCCCAGUCGCAUCCCCUUCCCAAGAGCUGCCAUUGCCAAGGUUUCUGGUGAGAGGCAGGAGAAUCUUGUCAUUGGAAGCUGUUGAGAAUCUCAGCCUUUCUCCACAGGCAGCAAAGCUGCUCAGUGCCUAGCAGAAUCAGUAUCUCCCCUCAGCUGGGAAUGCAGGAAGCUCCCAAUGGAGCAGCCACAGCCACGUCUGUGUGCGGAAAGUUUCUGUAGCUUGGGACCUAGAGAGACCACAAGUCUAGCUGUUGGAGACACUGGUGAUGAGAUGAGAUGAUGGGAGCACAUGCCCCCAGUGGCUGGGGGUGCACAGCUGUGCCGGUGGUGACUGGGGAGCUCCCACAGAUGCCACCAGCACUGUUGGCAGCUGGGGGGUGGCAAGCACCAGCCAUGGGUCGGCAACCAUCCACAGGCACCGCCACCAGCAGUGGCGGCCACAGCCGGGGCAAUCGGGGACCACCUACAGGCACUGCCAACAGUGUCAGCAGCACCUUUUUGCAGGUGGUGCACCGUCAUGCACAGAGGGUGCCUGUACAUCCCCUACCCAUUGCCCCUGGGAGCGACACUGCAUCCAUUGUGCACUGCCUACCUGCACAUCACACCAGAGCCCCAUUCCCAAAGGAUGACCUUGCUCUGGCACUGCCAGCAUGUGUGACCAGUGUUCCCCUGUGGUAGAAGUGUCUAUUCAUUAACACCUCCCUCCUUCCAACUUUGCGAACUCUGGGCCAAAAGGACCAAGUUGUGGCCACUUGGGUCAGAGGCCAAUUCUAAAAGCCCUUGGGGCAGGACAUUGCGAAAGGAGGAAAACUAUGGGUGUACCCUGCCCCGUAUCAUUUCAUUACUUUGUUUUGAGUGCCUGAGGGCCCCCAUUCCAUGUAAAAGCGAGCUCCUGUAUGUGUAUGUGUUUGAUAAUAAAAU